UACGGGGGGAGCAAGCGUUGUUCGGAUUUACUGGGCGUAAAGGGCGCGUAGGCGGCCACUGCAAGUCGGUUGUGAAAUCUCCGGGCUUAACCCGGAAAGGUCAAUCGAUACUGCAGGGCUAGAGUGCAGAAGGGGCAACUGGAAUUCUCGGUGUAGCGGUGAAAUGCGUAGAUAUCGGGAGGAACAUCAGUGGCGAAGGCGACCACCUGGCCCAACACUGACGCUGAGGUGCGAAAGCGUGGGUAGCAAACAGG
rnacentral:rRNA from 1 species